CAUGUAAAAAAAAUUUCACAUAUACAUUAAAAUUUCCCAUUUUGUUUUCCGACCAAAUUAAGAAGAAAAAACAAAACCAUGUUCUCAUCGUCUCUCAAUCACUCUCGCGACUCUCAAGUCUCACCCCGCUCAUGACUCGAUCUCUCUCUCACGCAACUCUCAGUGCUCUCAUGACUCUCACCCUGCUCACAGGGUGAGGCGAUCUCUCUCUCAAGCGACUCUCAUUCUGCUCAAGCAGGGUGAGACGAUCUCUCUAACUCUCAUUCUAUUCGUGGUUUUCCUUCUCAACAAGUUGUUGGUUCUCUUCCUCAGGAGAAGAAUUUGGAAUCUCUAAUCCUCAGAUAGAAGUGCAAAAGGAUUGUGUGUCACUACUUCCAUGGUCCAAACCCACCUUCCAACUCAAAAUGUUUAAAGUAAUGCAAUUGGGCUGGGAUCUUUUUGAACAUUAGAUGUUUUUCAUGAACAAUAAUGUCAUAGAUGAAGUUGAUUAGUUUUGUAUCAGAUGAACUUAAUAUGAUUUUUCUAUUCAUUUCUGUGAAAUGAGAAGUUACAAAGUCUUUUAGUUGAAAACAAACUUCUAAUAUGAUCACUGAACAUUUUUCCAAGGAUCGUCACUGUACUUGUUGUGAAAGCUUUACUUCUUUUUAUAAGUUCUAGUAUUUGGCUUCACAGUUCAUUAUAUCACCACAUGCCUUCACAAGCAGCAAGCCAAACAGACAGAGGUUUACACUUUUCUGUUUACUGUUUGUAUUUUAAAGAAGAGUAGUUGAAUACAUUAUGUGUGUUUGUGGAUA